AUUGAACGCUGGCGGCAUGCUUUACACAUGCAAGUCGAACGGCAGCACGGGGGCAGCCCUGGUGGCGAGUGGCGAACGGGUGAGUAAUACAUCGGAACGUGCCCGGUCGUGGGGGAUAACGUAGCGAAAGUUAAGCUAAUACCGCAUACGAUCUGAGGAUGAAAGCGGGGGACCUUCGGGCCUCGCGCGAUCGGAGCGGCCGAUGUCAGAUUAGGUAGUUGGUGGGGUAAAGGCCUACCAAGCCGACGAUCUGUAGCUGGUCUGAGAGGCCGACCAGCCACACUGGGACUGAGACACGGCCCAGACUCCUACGGGAGGCAGCAGUGGGGAAUUUUGGACAAUGGGCGCAAGCCUGAUCCAGCCAUGCCGCGUGCAGGACGAAGGCCUUCGGGUUGUAAACUGCUUUUGUACGGAACGAAAAGGCUCUGGCUAAUACCUGGGGCUCAUGACGGUACCGUAAGAAUAAGCACCGGCUAACUACGUG
rnacentral:rRNA from 1 species